ACACUAGCACUGUAUCAACCCCCUAUAAUUAUCUAGUAGCCACACUCUGUAACAGUAAGACUCGAUGAUUAGACAUAGGGGGUUACAGGUAGUCUCCCAACAGUCAGCAAAACAAGUCAUAAAACAAUAAAAGCGGGUUCCUUAUCAAGAACAUCCCAGCACACACAUCCCAACUGUAGUUCCAUAGUUUCCACCUUUUUUCAUUACAAACAGUUCCUUUAUCUCUCCAUGUCAGAGGUCAACUGAAACCAUGUCCAACUGAACCUCCAAAGGUUUUUCCAGGACAAUGACACCUCCUAGUGACUAACUGUACCUCUGUAGUUUCAACCUUUUUUCAUUACAAACUGCUCUUUUAUCUGUCAAUUACACUUUCUACUGACCAACCGAACCUCCGAGGGGUUUUCUUUACAUCCUACUCUUUUAUCUCUACUUCUCAGAGGUCAACUGAAACCAACCCCACCUAUAUAAAAACACCCUAAUCAGACUGUCACGGUUCUGGGUCAGUGUUGACCCAGCAUUUUGAGUUUCUUAUAUUUUGGUUUAUUUUUGCAUUAUGGAUUAUUUUCUGAUGUUCUGGUGCUUUGUUCAUUAUUAUUAUUAGCAAUAAAGCUGUGUAUUUUGAAGUUUCUUCCGCCUCCGUGAGUCCUGCAUUUUGGGUCCUCUCUUCCUGCCUGCCUACAAACAGACAUGACACAGACACCCUGUAUUUUUCCUCACUACUACACAUCAGCCCUUGCGAGCACAACGCUUCGUUCAGCAGGACGGACAGCAAAGCUAACAGUGUUCUUUUGUUGUUUAACAUGGAGUUCAUAUAUGCCUGAUUUUUAGGAGCUCAUCACAACAGGACAGCAUACAUUUCACAUACACAAGUUGCUGUCUCCCUGUGUUCAGUCAGAGUCUGUGUGUGUAGUUCAGUCUGCGUUAUGUUUCCUGUUUUACUUUGGAGGAUCACAAGCCUAUAUAGGGCAAACUACACCUAAAAAACACAGGGGUCAAUAAGCUGUCCAGAAAUACCUACAGCAGCGGGAGCAAUAAGACCAAGCCUUACAUUAGACCUGAGACAGAGUACGCAGCGUGUCAAGAACCGGGGCCAUCCAGAAUAACACAGACCAAUGUCAAUCACACAACCCCUUCCCACGAUGCGGACCAUGACGACACCUUGAUGCUUUUGGAAUAUAUACGCGAUAUUGAACUCCCAGAACAACAAGAAAAACCACAAGCUUUGUGCAACAAUGGAGACUAAGAACCAUUCUUCAUCACCGGACCAUACAUACACGCGAGUGCCUGCCUUGUGAUUUCAGCGAUAUUCCUGAGUACAGCCUAUCAGAUUUCAAUAUAGUUGACAUACCCACCACGCCAGAAUGUCUCAGAAACAACAGUGAUACAGACAUAGGUUUUGAAGAAGGCUGCAUAACAGACUCGCAAAUAUCACAGACAUAUAACGCAUACUUAAAUGCAGCAAACACCUCUAAUUUUGAUCAGAGCCAUUCUGCUUCAAACAACGAUAUACUAUCUUUGAUCGAUGCUAAACUCAGCCAACAUCAACAAGCAGUACAGAGGGAUGUGCAAGAAAUAGCAGCUAAAGUCAGCCAACAUCAAGAAGCAGCACAGGGGGACUUGCAAUUAAUAGCAGUGGCUCUAACUAGUACCCAGCAGGCAAUAAACAAUACCUGGGGUUUAUUAGAUCUCAUUAGUACCAGAUUGUUAAAUCGCUGACUUUUAAAGUCUACACCAUGGACCCACCCUGUAAAUUAUUCAAACACAAUGAUGGUACCUCCACUCGAGCUAAAUGGUUUCACUUUGAGGCUUUUAACCAGUGGGCUGCGCAAAUAAUAAACAAAUGCGAAGUUUUGCAUGCAAGACUUAGUAGUGUCGCUGUAGCAGACAGUCCUGUGUCUAAUGCACGUCCUUGUCCAACUCAUUCUGAAGCUGUUGCCGAUGAUGCUGUUUAUAUCGAUGUUGUUGCUCAUGCAACCGAUUCACAUCCGGAUAUGCUGCUGCUGCCGCUGCUGUAGGGACUGUUGUUAUUCAGGCUACCGCUGAUUGUCUUAUUGCUGAGGCUUCUGUCACAGCUGAUCGGGAGUGUGCACCUGGCGUACAUGCGUAUCUGGGUGCCGCUACAGCUGCUGCUGACGCAUCACCACACAACCCCUCAAACAAUGGAAAUUCCUUAAGUGUUAACCAUUCACAAACAGGUGCUGCAGUAUUCGAGCCCAUUGUUCAGUCUGGGGCAGGCAGUCACAGUCAGCGUAGCAUUAGAGAGAUACUUAAUUUCAACGCCCGAGAAUUGCGUGAGCGCCUUGAUUUUAGGGACAUAAGUCUUGAUGAUCCAGAACAAGUGUCAGAAAGAAUUAGAAGCUGCUUAGCCAAUGUGAUAGAGCUGUGGCUGGAUCUCAGCAGGGUCAUGUUCUAAAUGUGGUCCUGCGUGGACCCUCUUUGGCUUCAGAUGGUCAAGCUGUUUUAAAUCCUGAUGAUCAGUAUGACCCUGACCUGUUUCUCGACCAAAUAGCUCAAGUUAUGCAAAGUAAUGACGAAUUUAUAGGUGAUGGUGAAUUAGAGUUUAUUGUCACGGUUGUGCAAAACAGUAGCGGUGGCGGCGGUGCUAUAAUUCGCAGGGUUUGUGGAGUGUUCUGCUGGUGAGAGAUAGCAAACCACAGAUCGUUCUAUUGAGAGAUAUGGAGCCAGAGAGGCAGAGGAGAGGUUCUGUCGUGUGGGAGUAUUUUUGUUUGAUUUUGGUCAGUUUUGGUUGGGUUUGCCAGUUUUGUGUUCUUUUUUUUUUUUCUUUCUUUUUUUUCUUUUUUGUGGGUUUAUUUUAUCUAAAAACUUGUCAAAUUGUCAAAAAUCUGCUUUUCAUAAUGUACAUAUCAUGAAAUAACUUUAGAAAGACUUCCAUUUGACUCUUUUACAUUUAAUGUAAUAAAAAAUAUAUACUUUAUUUUUAAAGUAAUCUUAAAUGUUAUUCUACAAAUGUGCAGCAAUUUAAUGUGUUUAUUCUUUUUAACUGAUAGUCUGUGGAACCCAGGACGACCAGAUACCUGCAUCUCUACCAGUUUCUGUGCACUCCAGCCUCUUCUGAGAGGGUUUUUUUUAAGGCAGGAGAAAUUACUCCAUGAAAACAAGCAGACUCGGCCAUCACACAGUGGAACAAAUUCUCUUCUUAAAUAAAAAUGAAAAAGGGUUACCUUAAAUGCAUCAUGUUUUUAAUUUGCAAGUUAAUAAGCAAUUUCCCUUUCCAGUUCACAAUCAAUUCUGCCCCCAGGUCAAAAAUAUGUAUAAAAAUAUUGGCCUAAUAUAAUAUUAUUAAUAAACAUACCUGUUCAGCUGUCCA